AUUGCCGGGUUUUAACUUUUUUCGUUAAGAUAAGUAUGAUUUGUGUUAGUUUAUUGAUUAAGUAUAAGCGUGAAUAUUGUUUAUAGUUGAUUAACUGAAUACUCUGUUAUAUGUCAGAUAAUGGCUGAUUUUCCCCCGAGUAAGUUUACUGGGAUAAACGAUGAAGAGGUGGAGGCGGUUCGACAGGAUUUUCAGUUGUCAGCCUAUGCAUGCCUGGAUACUGCAAUGCCUCGCCAGGAGGUAUACUCGCAGACUUUGCGAGUGAAUAAAAGAGCCAUGGAGCUACUGGUCCGUCAGGUGCGCCUACGGCGUUGUACAGAGCAAAAAGUUGCUCUUUUA